AGCCGUUUCUGAUUUGAAACGGUAGUAAACCGUACUAGAGUCAUUGUGUUAUACGUUGUUCUUUCCACGGUUUUGUUGGUGUGUCCCAAUUGAGUGUUGGAUCUUCGUAUUUCUUCUUAUUGUGUUUUAUUGUUUUAUUUUGAAACAGAUGGACGGAAUGGAUUCGAUUAAAAACCUCUGAGUGGACCCCACAAGCCCAAGAUGCACAUUGCUCUAUAUGCGCCGCAGACUACUGAUGGGUUUUAACCCUUUUCUUGCUCCAGAAGCCCUAAAAUCCCUCUAUUCGUCUCCGUCUCCGUCUCCCUCUCUCAAUCUCCCUCUCACUCUCCCUCUCUCAAUCUCCCUCUCUUUCGAUCUUCCGAUCUCAACCCUCUCACUCUCCCUCCCUCUCUCUCGAUCCCCCUCUCCCUCAAAUCUCCCUCUCUUUCGAUCUCCCUCUCCCAAUCUCAACCCUCUCUCUUGAUCUCCCUCUCCCGAUCUCAACCUUUCAAUCAGAUUUAGUAGUCCGUUUUGCUAAACAUAUUUGCAAUAAAAUCUUAGGCUGUAUUUGAAAUUACUACAUCAGCAUUGAGUGGAAUGGCCAUUGGUCCAUUGGCCAUUGUCUUAUUCUUCUAUUUGAAGAAAUGAGACCACUGUCAAUCUAGACCUGGUUUGAUCGGUGCUCUCUAUCAUACUCAAUGCAGAAUGGGGUUUCUAGACUUUCCAAACGAAGCACCAUUUUCAAUUGAAAGUGGCCGCAAAUGCCUUUUGCACCCUCUAGCAAACUGUUUAUUAAUUAUCAUUGCAUUUGUUUUCCCAAAACCAUAAGUAUGCCAUGAGAUCAUUUUAGUUAUUAAGCUAUAUUUGUGUGUUGGUUUUGUAGGCAGGGUUGGUACACCCUGAUAAAAAUCCUGGAGAUCCCAAGGCUGCUCAUAAUUUUCAGAAACUUGCAGUUCCUCAGCCUCAAUCUGAGUCACAUACACAAAUUCAGUCUGCCCAAUAAAUUGUAACCAUCUUUUGAGAUGGUUGGCUCAGUUGUUUUUUGUUGCAUUGAAUGGUUGGUGUAGACAACACAUCGUGGUCCAAGAUGAAGUCCUAGCCAAUAGGUUGGGCCUUAUUCCCAUCAAGGCUGACCCAAGGUUGUUUGAAUAUGUUUCAGGUUGACAGUUCGUUGACUUUUUUUUUUUUUGCUUUCAUUAAUUUGAAUUGGGCUUAUUUGUACAUUGAUUUUUUUUGUACGUAUGUAUUCGGUACUUCUUCAAGGUCUUUCUUCAAGGGAUUUGAUAUGUGGAAGGAAGAAACUGUAUUGAAGGAGCACGAAUGUUGACCAUGAACAAAGCCUUUUAACUAAGCUGAAGCAACAAUGGGGUGGCCAACUUAUGUUGUAGAUGGAAGGAAUGGUCUGUCAUAUACUAACUACUUGCCUGAGCUAGUUGCAUGCGUGCGUGUGUUUUCUUCUUCUUUCUCAAGGGAUUUCUUGGUGUUGGUCUUUCAUGUUUUUCUGGCAAUGCAGGUUACUGAUUUUCCAUUAGCAAGGGAGAAUCAGCAGAAUGUUUUGAAGCUCCAUGCCCAUUUCCAUCUUUAUAUUGCUAACAGAAUUUGUCCUUUACCUUCACUGUGGUUUUAUUCAGGGUGAUGGUUUUCAUAUCUUUUCUUUUCUUUUUCAAACUAUUCAAUGUCUAUGUUUGUAGCUUGCUCAGCUCCAAGAUACAUACAUGUUGCAUCGUAUUUUAAUUAGACCAAACUAUUCAGGAUGAUGGUAUUUUAAUUAGACCAAGCUAUUUAUCUUGCAUCGUAUAUCUUGGGUCAUUAUUUUGUUCACGAUCAUUUUAGUGAAAGCUUCAUUUCGGUUAAAACACCUGAUAUGUUAUUGGAUCAACAAUAAUUCAAUGCUUGGACUUGAAUUGGUUAUUUUUAUUACUAUUCAGGUUGUAUUUUGAACUUAUUAUUUAAUAUGCACUCUGCUGCAAGGUAACAAUUGGAUCUCUAGCUAUCAAGCCUCCUCUCACUGAAAUAUAUGAACUCAAUGCUGAUUGGCAAAGGGCAGCAGCAGGUCUUCUUGUUUCGAUUGGUUCACAUUUGCCUGAUCUGGUAAGCUUUUCUAAUGUCAUGCAUUGAAUGAUGGCCUUAGUUUCUUAUUUGAGGGCCAAUGACAAGUUGGUGGUUUUGUAUUAGUAGGAAAUGCUGCAUACAGAAAAAGAGUGACAGGAAAGUAUGAGUUUCAUGAGAGAGAUAUAUGUUUGCAAUACCUCAAGUUUUCUAGAAAUAAGUCAAAUGAAAUUAAUUAUAAGAAAAAUGUCACCAGUAGAUCGCUUCUAUGAUACCUUAGAAGGGCCUGAAUUCGAUACUCUCAGGGUACGUGAACUUUUUCUUUUUUCUUCUUCUUUUUUUUUUUUUUUUGCUGCUGCUGUUGUUGUGCAUUCAGUCUCUUAAGACUUGACCAGGUUGUUGGUGGUCUUCAAUGAUUAUACUUUUAAUUCAUGUAUGCCUGGGUGUGUCAAUGAUGGGAAAGCCUUGACUAUCAGAUGCCGUACUCACACCUGUUCACACAUUGGUAAAAUUGUGAGAUUUUUUAAUUAUUUUUUUGGUUCGAGCUGCACUACUGGUUUCCAUUCUGCUAUUUUUUCUGUUUCUUCCAUUUCUUGAUUUAUUUUGUGGAAAGCAAGGUCUGAAGUUAUAUGAGAGUUUUUUGUUCUUUCUGAACUAGUUGCCUUACCGUCUGUCAGAUGACUUAAUUGGUUUACAGGUACCUCCUUAUUUUGUUUCGUAAUGCUCCAGUAGAAGUAUGGGCUAUGACAAAGAGUCCCGUGUUUAAUUGAUCACUUGUAAUAUUACCGCAAAUCACAGGGAGUGUGCUUGGGGACAUGAUUUUCUCAUGAUGGGCUCCGGCUUAUAUAUGAAUUCCCUGAGUUUGGAACUUUGGCUUGAUUCUUUGAUUUGGCUUGAAUUAGUUAGAGAUUGCUUGGAGGCGAGAUCUGCCUCCCUUUUUGCCUGUUUUUCAUAGCUGCGGCUGCCUUGUAUUCUUUUGUUGCAUGCCUUGAUCUCUUGGCAGUGGUUUAAUAAAAAUAUUAAUUCUUGUCAUCUCUCUCUCAAAA